GACGUAGGGUGCAAGCGUUGUCCGGAUUUACUGGGCGUAAAGAGCGCGUAGGCGGUCUGUUAAGUGUAGAGUGAAAGCUCCGGGCUCAACCUGGAAAUUGCUCUGCAUACUGGCAGACUUGAGGAAUGGAGAGGUUUGUGGAAUUCCUGGUGUAGCGGUGAAAUGCAUUGAUAUCAGGAGGAACACCGAUGGCGAAGGCAGCAAACUGGCCAUUAUCUGACGCUGAGGCGCGAAAGCGUGGGUAGCAAACAGG
rnacentral:rRNA from 1 species